UACGUAGGGACCAAGCGUUGUUCGGAUUUACUGGGCGUAAAGGGCGCGUAGGCGGCAAUUCAAGUCAGCUGUGAAAUCUCCGGGCUUAACUCGGAACGGUCAGCUGAUACUGCUUUGCUAGAGUGCAGAAGGGGCAAUCGGAAUUCUUGGUGUAGCGGUGAAAUGCGUAGAUAUCAAGAAGAACACCCGUGGCUAAGGCGGCUCUCUAGUACGUGACUGACGCUGAGACGCGAAAGCGUGGGGAGCGAACAGG
rnacentral:rRNA from 1 species